rnacentral:lncRNA from 1 species
UUUUAUACUGGAGACGAUUAUGAUUUGGUUCAAAAACUAAUUAUGAUAUUGAUCAAAAAAGAAAAGAUUUCAUGGUUGAUUUUAAACCCAAAAAAGAGCGCCACAUUUUAAUAUUGACAGAAGAAAAAAACGUCAAAGCCCUACCGAAUUCAACGUUCUAUUCAGCACACCAUUAAUGCUCCUAAUAUACUUCAAUUCCCUUCACGUCCCAGCCUCGCAGCCUCCGACGUUUUAUGGCAGGAGUAAAAAGAAAAGAGAUCGGUAAGUACAAUACUUUCUGAUAUUAUUGGCGGCUAAUUAAGAGAAAUCGUCAAAUUCCCAGACAAUACGAUGUUGUAUUUAAUGCAUCUGUUUUUUAAUUAAAACGUCGAUUUAUUUUCGUCUGCGACGUGAUUU